UACGUAGGGGUCGAGCGUUGUCCGGAAUUAUUGGGCGUAAAGAGCUCGUAGGCGGUUUGUCGCGUCGGCUGUGAAAACCCGGGGCUCAACCCCGGGCCUGCAGUCGAUACGGGCAAACUAGAGUGCGGUAGGGGAGACUGGAAUUCCUGGUGUAGCGGUGAAAUGCGCAGAUAUCAGGAGGAACACCGGUGGCGAAGGCGGGUCUCUGGGCCGUAACUGACGCUGAGGAGCGAAAGCGUGGGGAGCGAACAGG
rnacentral:rRNA from 1 species